GGGUUCAAGUUCGAAAUAAGCACAAAAAUAUAAUUCCAUAAGCUUUAGUGAAUAAGUAUUCCUUAUGCAUGAGAAUUUGGACUUUUUGAAGCUUCACAUAAAUUCGCGUCACUUGGGAGUCGAACCCGCGCAGAAAUUCAAGACUGACGCGCUACCUCCACUCUAGCACUCAGUCACGGAGACACAAUGCGCAACAGUAAGCAUUGUCUACAUAAGGUCCAAAAGGACGAUCAAAUAACGAACACCCUCUGAUCUGUAUCUCUCAUGGAGAACCCCAAUUUCGUUGUUUGCACAAUGACAAUAAAGUCUGAAAUCUGAAUAUCGUCGGACAAUGCCAAGGGAUCGGUUCUGUCUGAGAAGCCCCUGACUGCAGCCCGCAGACGGAGUCCACAUGGAGGGGGCCGGCACUCCGCCCACAUGGAGGGGGCGGAUACUCAUGCUGCGUUCGAGUAUUCACUGCGAACCGACUCGGAUCUCGGAUCUGACGCCACGCCCGUCCACAUCGAGGGGGCGGCCACUCAGUUCACAUUGAGGACUGGUCAAACAGCAUUUCUGAUCCCGUUUCUGACCUGAAAUUAGCUGAAAUGUACCUGAAAUUACCUGAAAUUAGAGUGUGCCCGCCCGAGCGAGUGAUGCCUAAAACAUGCAAAGACACGUCAGUGUAAUUGUGAAUGGCGAGAGCCCUGAAAUACAGCUGGACAGCAGCGGUCUACAUCACUGCCCCUUCUGCAGAUACAAAGGGUCAAAAUGUGAUAUCGACCAUCACAUUAAAUGCCAUGCCUCGGUUAAAUACAGAGGUCUGCAGAGGAGCUUUCAGGAAGCAGGAAGAGAAGACGGGAGGAAAAAAAGCUACAGGUUAAAGAUCUCUGCACAAAAAGGGCUAGAGUUGCUCCAACAGCAUCCAGCUCUGAAGGAUCAGGUCAUGUAUAGACUGUUAAUCCAGACAAAACUGAAGACCAGGAAUUGGAACCUGGGAACCUGGAAGAUUAUGUUGUCCUGAAGGACACAAUUCAGGCAGCAGCAUGGUGCCAGUUACAGUCCUUCAAGGACAGCGUUUCUCUCCCAGAGGUCAUUGGGAUGGAAGGUUGGGAGCAGAUGGCAGCAUCAACACAGCGCAAAUCCCAUGACGGCGGGGAUGAGGAAGAAACGUGGAAACCAUUCCAAUUCUCAUUCAGAUUACAUACUGACUAUGAACUGUUCUGUGUGGAGAUAAUGGACAGGAAAAACCUGAAGGUGUUUGCCUCUUUUGAGUCAAGAAACCUCUCCCCCUCCCCGUCCCCCCUCCCGUCCCCCCUCCCGUCCCCCUCCCUGUGACGCCUGCGCCACACGACUCCAAUGUAGUCUGAUGAUGCAGCAUAAUGGCGGCGCUUGGUAGCUAUGGCGGCGGUGACGGCGAUGUCGGGCGACAGAGCGUGAAGCAAGAGUGGCGUCCACCUCACUGAGGAAGGCGUCAGUGUGUCCCCCCCCCCCCCCCCCCACCCGUUGAGACUUUGUUUGUUGUACUCUUUAUUGAUUUAUAUUUUAUGUUUAUAGUUUACAAUCUAUUUUUUGUAGUUAUUUUUUAAUUGUUUUGUUGAAUAAAAAGACUGUUGUUAGUGCUCCUGUGAUUGGUGUAACUUAAUGUGCUUCACACAUGUAGCUUUUCAUUAUGUCUAUUGAGGUACAUUUUUUGCCCUUAGAUGUGGUCACUUCGUUAUUCCUCAGAUUACAUCUGUUAAGGUCAUACCUUUGGGUCCCAGUCUUCAAAGUUCCCCAAAUCUUAUUUUGGCUCUUACUGGGCCUGUAACUCUCACAGACAGACGGGUACAGGAGUUCGGACACGUUGCAUUGUUUACAGGCAAGGGUGGAUUACCGCACGGGCACACCGGGC
rnacentral:lncRNA from 1 species